CUGCUGCCUUCCGUAGGAGUCUGGUCCGUGUCUCAGUACCAGUGUGGGGGGCCUUCCUCUCAGAACCCCUACGCAUCGUCGCCUCGGUGGGCCGUUACCCCGCCGACUAGCUAAUGCGCCGCAUGCCCAUCCGUGGCCGGGAUUGCUCCCUUUGGCGGCCUUGGGAUGUCCCUAGGCCGCGUUACGCGGUAUUAGACGGGGUUUCCCCCGCUUAUCCCCCUGCCACGGGCAGGUUGCAUACGUGUUACUCACCCGUGCGCCGGUCGCCGGCGAACGGAACG
rnacentral:rRNA from 1 species